CACGUAGGGCGCGAGCGUUGUCCGGAAUUAUUGGGCGUAAAGAGCUCGUAGGCGGCCUGUUGCGUCCGCUGUGAAAGCCCGGGGCUUAACCCCGGGUCUGCAGUGGAUACGGGCAGGCUAGAGGUAGGUAGGGGAGACUGGAAUUCCUGGUGUAGCGGUGGAAUGCGCAGAUAUCAGGAGGAACACCGAUGGCGAAGGCAGGUCUCUGGGCCAUUACUGACACUGAGAAGCGAAAGCAUGGGGAGCGAACAGG
rnacentral:rRNA from 1 species